GACGAACGCUGGCGGCGUGCUUAACACAUGCAAGUCGAACGGAAAGGCCCUGCUUGCAGGGUACUCGAGUGGCGAACGGGUGAGUAACACGUGGGUGAUCUGCCCUGCACUUCGGGAUAAGCCUGGGAAACUGGGUCUAAUACCGGAUAGGAGCCAUUUUUAGUGUGAUGGUUGGAAAGUUUUUUCGGUGUAGGAUGAGCUCGCGGCCUAUCAGCUUGUUGGUGGGGUAAUGGCCUACCAAGGCGGCGACGGGUAGCCGGCCUGAGAGGGUGGACGGCCACAUUGGGACUUAGAGACGGCCCAGACUCCUACGGGAGGCAGCAGUGGGGAAUAUUGCACAAUGGGCGCAAGCCUGAUGCAGCGACGCCGCGGGGGGGAUGACGGCCUUCGGGUUGUAAACGCCUUUCGCUAGGGACGAAGCUUUUUGUGACGGUACCUAGAUAAGAAGCACCGGCUAACUACGUG
rnacentral:rRNA from 1 species